UACGGAGGGUGCAAGCGUUAUCCGGAUUUACUGGGUUUAAAGGGUGCGUAGGUGGGUAAGUAAGUCAGUGGUGAAAUCUCCGGGCUUAACCCGGAAACUGCCAUUGAUACUAUUUAUCUUGAAUACUUUGGAGGUAAGCGGAAUAUGUCAUGUAGCGGUGAAAUGCUUAGAUAUGACAUAGAACACCAAUUGCGAAGGCAGCUUACUACACAGUAAUUGACACUGAGGCACGAAAGCGUGGGGAUCAAACAGG
rnacentral:rRNA from 1 species